AAAAAUUAAAAGAAGAAGUGAAAAGGAGGGGAGUCAAACCAGGUGCCUCUCACAUGCAAAAUCAACGCCAUACCAAAUGAGCUACGAUCAUAUCUGUCAAGGAUGGUACAAUUUUACAUAUUUAGCAUAAUAACUUCAUCAACAUAAAAUCCCUUUCCUACCAGAGCCAGCAUGGGUAGUCGCGCCGGCUCGCCGGGUGCUGGCUCCGCCCCUGUAGACUGUUACGUUUCACAUUUCAUGCACCAAGUGUCAAUACAGUUCACAUUUUUUGACACAUCGACCUAGAAAUAAGUACACACUAACCCGACUAUGGGACCUAAAUCACCUUUUGAACAUGUAACUUGGUAUGAAGAGUGGAUUUCUGAUGUACAUAAAAGUUUGAUAUGGAGGAGGACAUUAUUA
rnacentral:lncRNA from 1 species